rnacentral:rRNA from 1 species
AUUGAACGCUGGCGGCAGGCUUAACACAUGCAAGUCGAGCGGAGAUGAGGUGCUUGCACCUUAUCUUAGCGGCGGACGGGUGAGCAAUGCUUAGGAAUCUGCCUAUUAGUGGGGGACAACAUUCCGAAAGGAAUGCUAAUACCGCAUACGCCCUACGGGGGAAAGCAGGGGAUCUUCGGACCUUGCGCUAAUAGAUGAGCCUAAGUCGGAUUAGCUAGUUGGUGGGGUAAAGGCCUACCAAGGCGAAGAUCUGUAGCGGGUCUGAGAGGAUGAUCCGCCACACUGGGACUGGGACACGAGCCAGACUCCGACGGGAGGCAGCAGUGGGGAAUAUUGGACAAUGGGCGGAAGCCUGAUCCAGCCAUGCCGCGUGUGUGAAGAAGGCCUUUUGGUUGUAAAGCACUUUAAGCGAGGAGGAGGCUACCUGGAUUAAUACUCUAGGAUAGUGGACGUUACUCGCAGAAUAAGCACCGGCUAACUCUGUGCCAGCCGCCGCAGUAAAAC